UACAGAGGGGGCAAGCGUUAUUCGGAAUUAUUGGGCGUAAAGGGCGCGUAGGCGGCUUUUCAAGUGACGGGUGAAAGCCCUCGGCUUAACCGAGGAACUGCCUGUCAGACUGGAAGGCUUGAGACCGGGAGAGGUGAGUGGAAUUCCCAGUGUAGCGGUGAAAUGCGUAGAUAUUGGGAGGAACACCAGUGGCGAAGGCGGCUCACUGGACCGACACUGACGCUGAGGCGCGAAAGCGUGGGGAGCAAACAGG
rnacentral:rRNA from 1 species